AUGCUUACCUCAGGAGCACACAUGCUAAAAUUGGAAUGGUACAGAGAAAAUUACCCUGGCCCCUAGGGCAAAGAUGACAUGCAAACCAUAGCAGAGUAACUAACUCUA
ensembl:snRNA U6 U6 spliceosomal RNA